AUGGCUGGACACCUGGCUUCAGACUUCGCCUUCUCACCCCACCAGGUGGGGGCGAUGGGUCAGCAGGGCUGGAGCCGGGCUGGGUGGACCCUCGAACCUGGCUAAGCUUCCAAGGGCCUCUGGGUGGGCCUGGAAUAGGACCAGGCUUAGAGGUAUUGGGAUCUCCCCAUGUCCACCGGUAUAUGAGUUCUGCGGAGGGAUGGCAUACUGUGGACCUCAGGCUGGCGUGGAGACUUUGCAGCCUGAGAGCCAGGCAAGAGCAGGUGUGGAGAGCAACUCAGAGGAAGCCUUCUCUGGGCCUUGUGCCGACCACCCCAGUGCCGUGAAGUUGGAGAUGAGGGAACCACGUCCCGAGGGGUCCCAGGACAUGAAAGUCCUGCAGAAGGAGCUAGAGAAGUUUGCCAAGCUGCUGAAGCAGAAGAGGAUCACCUUGGGGUACACCCAGACCGACGUGGGGCUCACCCUGGGCGUUCUCUUCAGAAAGGUGUCAGCCAGACAACCAUCUACUGCUUUGAGGCCCGGCAGCUCAGCCUUAUGACCAUGCAUAAGCUGCGGCCCCUGCUGGAGAAGUGGGUAGAGGAAGCGGAAGACAAUGAGAACCUUCAGGAGAUAUGCAAAUCGGAGACCAUGGUGCAGGCCUGGAAGAAAAAGAGCGCGAGCAUUGAGAACCAUGUGAGGCAGAGCCUGGAGAAUGAGUUUCUGAAGUGCCCAGAGCCCUCCCCGCAGCAGAUCACUAGCAUUAGCAUCACCAUGCAGCUUGGGAUGGAGAAGGACAUGGUUCGAGGAUGGUUCUGUAACCGGCGCCAGAAGGGCAAAAGAUCAAGUAUUGAGUAUUCCCAACGAGAAAAGUAUGAGGCUUUCCGGGGAUGCCUUUCGGGGCGUGGGGUGGGGCUGUAUCCUUUCCUCUGCCCCCAGGCCCCACUUUGGCACCCCAAGCUAUGGGAGCCCCCACUUCACCACACUACUCGAUACCUGUCCUGAGGGCGAGGCCUUUCCCUCUGUCCCCUGUCAUUGCUCUGGGCUCUCCCAUGCAUUCAAAC